rnacentral:sRNA from 1 species
UCGAAUAAAAUCGUUAUAGGAAAUCGUAGAUAUUACUGCAGAAUUAUGCGAGUAAAGUGCUUUAUAACUAAUACGUAAUUUACCCCGUCUACGUCAUAUAAUGCAUAAUAAUAGUGUAGUGGCCAAUAACGAUACGCAAAAAGAUUCUCUUUUGUGAUACUAUAAAUUAAAAUACAACUCACACCAAACCACAACAACUGCACAAUCAAGUAUAAUAAAGUAUGAAAUACAAACGCACAACUGAAAAAAGAGCAA